rnacentral:rRNA from 1 species
GACGGAGGAUGCAAGCGUUAUCCGGAAUGAUUGGGCGUAAAGCGUCCGCAGGUGGCUGUGUAAGUCUGCUGUCAAAGAGCGAAGCUCAACUUCGUAAAGGCAGUGGAAACUACACGGCUAGAGUGCGUUCGGGGCAGAGGGAAUUCCUGGUGUAGCGGUGAAAUGCGUAGAGAUCAGGAAGAACACCGGUGGCGAAGGCGCUCUGCUAGGCCGCAACUGACACUGAGGGACGAAAGCUAGGGGAGCGAAUGGG